rnacentral:rRNA from 1 species
UACGGGGGGGGCAAGCGUUGUUCGGAAUUACUGGGCGUAAAGGGCUCGUAGGCGGCUAACUAAGUCGGACGUGAAAUCCCCAGGCUCAACCUGGGAACUGCGUCUGAUACUGGAUGGCUUGAAUCCGGGAGAGGGAUGCAGAAUUCCAGGUGUAGCGGUGAAAUGCGUAGAUAUCUGGAGGAAUACCGGUGGCGAAGGCGGCAUCCUGGACCGGCAUUGACGCUGAGGAGCGAAAGCCAGGGGAGCAAACGGG